UCUAAAACCCCAAUCAAAACUCUAAACUGAUUAAAGUGUUCUUUUCAUCUUCCUCUUCACUUUCAUACCAGAUUUUAUAAGAAAAUCAUAUCUAGAAGUCUUGUGGAGCAA